rnacentral:snoRNA from 1 species
AAUUUAUGAUAAGGACACCAUCUCAAAAUAUCCUUAAAUCUCUCCCAUGCAUCAUACAAUGUCUCAAGCUCAAAUUAAGCAAAAGAAGAGAUGAGAUUCCUCAACCU